AAAAGAUUGAUAUUGUUAUAUGUGAUGAAGUGCAACACGGUGGAUUCUUACCGACGUUUCAAAAUGCUUUGUAGUCGAGACUGGUUCUGAGAAGAAAUGCUAACAAAUCCUUGCUGGAUACAGAUCAGGGGGCUAUUGAAAAUCUGCAAAAGGCUAAGUCAUAAAGUCCCUCAGUUCAAGAAGACGACUCGUACCUGGGAAUGGCUCUGGACUAAUUACAAAAAAACUGUUUAAAAUCACUGCAGAAAGCAGAGACAACAAGAGUUUUGCCAAAAGGAAGAAGGGCUGUUGAUCACUUGUGUGGUAGAGAGAAACACCCAGAAUCAGUCUGGACAGGAUGGAGUUUUAGUCUGGACAGGAUGGAGUUUUAGACUGGACAGGAUGGAGUUUUAGUCUGGACAGGAUGGAGCUUCAGUCUGGACAGGAUGGAGCUUCAGUCUGGACAGGAUGGAGUUUCAGUCUGGACAGGAUGGAGCUUCAGUCUGGACAGGAUGGAGUUUUAGUCUGGACAGGAUGGAGCCUAACUGUGGAAAAACAGAAACUGACUGAUACACACAUUACAAUGACAAAUCAAUGACCAGAUUGGCAACCAGCUCCAGCUACUCAGCAUCACUCUGACUAUUUGUGCUGGUUGGCUUCUGUCUCAGCUGAAGGGAGGACAUUGUGUUUUAAAGUCUUUUCUUUCUGUCCUGAAGUAGGCCUACCUGCUUAAUACACACAGACUUUCAUAUAGGUAAAGCAAAGGCAUGCUAUGACUUAACUCUACCUUCAUAUAUUGGGCUGCCUUUAUCCCAAUAGUUUCACAGUUUAAAAACGUGUCUUUUCAAAUGACUGUAUGCUACAUUGAUCUUUGGAUCACACUUGGAAUGUGAAAGGUUUCCUAGUGUCAGUUUUAGGUCUCCCUGAAGUCCGUAGACUUCCAUUCUAUUAGUCACCCUAGAACACAGUCAUCGAGCCUAACGGAGAUGUGUAUUCAUUAGGGAUAUACUGUAGCUAAAUGUUUAAUGGAGGGCUACGCUAGCGUUUCUUGGACCAAUUCAGAAAUUGGUACACAAGGAGGAGUAGCACUAGUCUUUUUAGGAUUAAGUGAAAAUAGGGAGACAAUGUAUUUGUAUUAAGGGUUUAGUCUUUGAAUGGUGGAUUUGUGCAGAUUCCCUUGGCCUUCCUUCCUGUUUAACUCUUGAUGUCUGGUCUUGCUGUAGAGACUGAACACAGCAGGAUUAUUGCUAGACUUUUUUUGUUUUCUUAACUAUUUUACGACGUAUUCAUUGACGAAACGAACUCCACUACAAAUACAAGCCUCUAUAGAAGAACCUCUGAUCCUUUUUUAGUUAGGAAUAAAAAGACAAAGAUGUUUUAUUUUCUAAGAGUAUGUAGUAGUAGCAUUAGUGAAAUAACCUACUAUGAUGGAUCAUAUUUUAAAUUUUUUAUCAGUGGGCUAUUUUGUUUUUUUUGUUUUUUUUGUGGAAAGAUUUAGAGACUGUAUCCAGACCUGCCUUACUGUUACCAAUAUGUUCCUUUUUUUGUGGAAAGAUUUAGAGACUGUAUCCAGACCUGCCUUACUGUUACCAAUAUGUUCCUUUUUUGUGGAAAGAUUUAGAGACUGUAUCCAGACCUGUCUUACUGUUACCCACAUGUUCCUUUUUUUGUGGAAAGAUUUAGAGACUGUAUCCAGACCUGCCUUACUGUUACCAAUAUGUUCCUUUUUUUGUGGAAAGAUUUAGAGACUGUAUCCAGACCUGUCUUACUGUUACCAAUAUGUUCCUUUUUUUGUGGAAAGAUUUAGAGACUGUAUCCAGACCUGCCUUACUGUUACCAAUAUGUUCCUUUUUUUGUGGAAAGAUUUAGAGACUGUAUCCAGACCUGCCUUACUCUUACCAAUAUGUUCCUUUUUUUGUGGAAAGAUUUAGAGACUGUACCCAGACCUGUCUUACUCUUACCAAUAUGUUCCUUUUUUUGUGGAAAGAUUUAGAGACUGUACCCAGACCUGUCUUACUCUUACCAAUAUGUUCCUUUUUUUGUGGAAAGAUUUAGAGACUGUAUCCAGACCUGCCUUACUCUUACCAAUAUGUUCAUUUUUUGAACAGGGAGUUAUUCUACCGUAAACUAAGAUUAUUUUUAUGUAUUUAUUUUUAUUUUUUAAAGGAUACUUCCUCUGACAUUCUUAGAGCUGUCAUUUUAUUGUGAGGAACUGCAGUUCGAUCGGAAUAGUUGUUCUGUUUUUGUCCUCUGUUUUGUGAGUGACCCUCUCACUCAGUCAACUCGUCUCAGUGCACAAGUCUCCCCUUCUCCAGACACCACGUAUGAAUCAGAAUCCGUAGCUAGUUGUGACACGUGAGCCUCUGGAUGAAAAGCAGAGUAUCCCUAAAGCAGUGUGGUCGUAUCAGCCCCCCCAUGUUGGACUAAACUCUACACAAGUGAAAACCCCAAAUCCCUAAAGAUCCUCUAUUUGCCAAACUAGAGGGACAUGAAGUCUGACUCCUUCCUCAACAUGUGGACCUGCCCUGAGGAUGUUGGACACCACUGUUACACCUUCAGCCUUGUUGAUUUCCUGUCAGACUGGUUGUUUUUCAACUCCAUUCCACGGACGGACUGACCUGAAAUUUUACCAGAACAGGAACACAAUGUUCAACAGACUCUACUCAGACUGGUCGUCUUUGAACUCAAGAGGAACACAAUGUUCAUCAGACUCUACUCAGACUGGUCGUCUUUGAACUCAAGAGGAACACAAUGUUCAUCAGACUCUACUCAGACUGGUCGUCUUUGAACUCAAGAG